GAUGAACGCUGGCGGCGUGCCUAAUACAUGCAAGUCGAGCGAACAGAUGAGGAGCUUGCUCCAUGGCCUUUGGCGGCGGCCGGGGGGGUAAACGUUGGAUAACCACCCUUAAGGACGGGGAUAAUUCCGGAAACCCGGAGCAAUUCCCGAUAAUAUAUUUAAACCCCAGGGUUCAUUAUGAAAAACGGUUUUUCUGUCACUUAUUAAAUGAUUCGCCGCCGCAUUAGCUAGUUGGUAAGGUAACGGCUUACCAAGGCAACGAUGCGUAGCCGACCUGAGAGGGUGAUCGGCCACACUGGAACUGAGACACGGUCCAGACUCCUACGGGAGGCAGCAGUAGGGAAUCUUCCGCAAUGGGCGAAAGCCUGACGGAGCAACGCCGCGUGAGUGAUGAAGGUCUUCGGAUCGUAAAACUCUGUUAUUAGGGAAGAACAAAUGUGUAAGUAACUAUGCACGUCUUGACGGUACCUAAUCAGAAAGCCACGGCUAACUACGUG
rnacentral:rRNA from 1 species